rnacentral:lncRNA from 1 species
AAUGCUACUUCAUCUGCUUACUAACUUUGCUUUUGAUUUAUUCCAUUUGACCAAAUUAUUCUCAUUUGUCAAGGACAUCACUAGUAGUCUAGUAGACGACAACCUCAGCUCAACAUUUUUUUUUUCAUGGUAAGUUUGCAAAAUGUCGUAUUUUAAAUUCUGCUCAAAAUUGGUUUUGUUUGAACAACGUAUUAAAUUGUGACAUGAUGAAAUGGUGACUUGAUGUGCUCAAUAUUAUUUUUUAUUACUGGAGUAUAUUCAUCAAACUCAAGUAAUUUUUAAAGUACAAACCCAAUAAAUUAAAUCAAUUGACAAAAUAAAAACACUUGUUUAUUUUUUUCAUUUAAAAAAAAAAUAGUUUGUUAUGCAUAUACAACUAAUUUUAAAAUAAAAGUGAUAGUAUAAUCAUAUAUUACACAAAAUCUCCAUGUAUUUUAUCAUAUGGGUUGGUUAGCACAUCAUAAUAUUAAUUUUUAAUUCACUCUUACAAUAUGUUAAGAUGAUAAAAUAUGAUUGAACUUACAAUUAUAUUGUUAGUAUCUUAUUAUAAAACUAUAAAAAUAUUUACAUAUACAUUUUAAAAUUUAUUUUAAUUUUAAAAGUAAAUUCCUUCCAUCCUUUUAUUUAUGAUCAAUACUUUGAUAAGAUUUUUAUAGAUAAUUUUGUAAAAACAUAAUUUCAUUUAUGUCCUUUAAAUAUCGUGAAUGUGCAAGUGAAAUUAGGUAUUUAUAAAAUAUAUUGUGACUGAGGUCAGUGAUGUGUUGAGAUAUUGCCGACAUCGGCUGAUUAUAGGGUUCAUAUAUAAUGAUGUAUCCAAAUAUCCGAGUCUGAGACCUCUUAACAUAUAUGUUUUCUUCAUUUUGGCUGAAUUGGGCCAUGAGGCCAAGAGGAACAAAAAUUACAAAUUUUAC